CGCGAUGAUGAGAUAAAGAAAUAAUCUCGUUAAUCUGAUAAUUAAUGAGGAAACCUAUCUAUCCAUUCAUAUUUCCUGAGC
rnacentral:snoRNA from 1 species